rnacentral:lncRNA from 1 species
ACGAAACUAUAUUUUUUAUCUAUGAAAGUAUAAUCCAAAUUCAAAUAAAAAACAUUUAAUAAUUAAGGUGGUAUUCUUAUAAAGCUUGAAAAAAAAAAUUGGUCUAUUUAAAAGUAAAACAAUAUUUUAAAAUAAUUUUUGUUUGCAAUGCAAAAAUCAAUAUAAAUCUUGUGACGCGCGGUGUUCAACUUUAGUCAGCGCCAGGCGCUUACCGAGGAGGGACGUAUCGCUCGCUGUUGCGCCGCGUAAACUCGCCGGAGUUCGAAAAAUAUAGCGCAACCUACGCAUCUAACACGUUUUGAUACUAGAUAAUGAAAGCAUAUUUAAUUGAGACUAUCAGACUCAAUUGAAUACCAGUACAAAUAAUAUGGAAAAUGAAGAUACAAUACCUACAUGGAAGACGAAUUAUAGAUUUUAGUUUUUUUAUAAAUCAAUUACUUAUAAUUGAUAAACAUGGUGAAAAGUUUGGUUGUCGAUUAAAUAAUUUAAAAAUUGU